rnacentral:rRNA from 2 species
UGGCGAACGGGUGAGUAACACGUGGGUGAUCUGCCCCUUACUUUGGGAUAAGCCUGGGAAACUGGGUCUAAUACUGGAUAGGACCAUGCUGUAGGUGGUGUGGUGGAAAGAUUAGUUUCGGUAAGGGAUGAGCUCGCGGCCUAUCAGCUUGUUGGUGGGGUAAUGGCCUACCAAGGCGUCGACGGGUAGCCGGCCUGAGAGGGUGGACGGCCACAUUGGGACUGAGAUACGGCCCAG